ensembl:lncRNA
CGACUGGGUGACUUUAUUCACCCGCUUCGGCUGUUAUCAGUCCAUACAAUGGGCGUUAUUAGCAGAAAUCAGUCCCAUAGAUGUGGGCCAUCUCCACCUGCUAGAUUGUUCAGAAGCUUGUUAUCAUCCAUCCAGAUGGAGGAUCACUAACAGGAGCGUGGAAGACUCCAGAAUCCACUCUGGCUGGAAUCCGGUGGAUACAGCAGUGUUACAGAACAGUUCUCCACAGUCGCUGUGCACAUGGGUCAGUGGGACCAAGAAGCACUCUGCUAAUGUGAGACUCUGACCAGCAACAUCCAGCAAGACCCAGGCAGCGUUUUCUAUCUCCCAGCUGGAGUUUUUUGUUUGUGACGGGAGAGUCAGAUUUUUGUUGAAGCUGGAGGAACAGAGAGGUUAAUACACGCUACUGAUCCCUGAUGGGAGAAUCAUCACCUCUGCUAACAAAGAAGCCUGGUGGAUAUUUGUUUACAGACUGAUGAUGGGACAUCAUGCUCUGCAUCUUCAAAGUGAAGAGCCUGAGGCCGGUGACACUCCAGUUCUACUCUAAGUACAUCCUUACGGUGGCUCACAGGACAAGGCGACAUUCCUGUCCUGCCAGAAGAGAAGAGAAACUUCAGAGUCUUCAUGAAGUUCAACCAAAACCUGUCAUAUGGAAUAUGACAGGGUCUCAAACUCCAGUCCUCGAAGGCCGGUGUCAUGCAACUUUUCCAUGCCCUCGAGGACUGGAGUUUGAGACCCCUGCCGUAUGGUGUUCAUGCAGUUUUC